rnacentral:rRNA from 1 species
UACGUAGGGGGCAAGCGUUGUUCGGAAUUACUGGGCGUAAAGGGCGCGUAGGCGGCACGGCAAGUCGGGAGUGAAAGGCCUGGGCUCAACCGAGGAACUGCUUUCGAGACUGCCGAGCUAGAGUGCGGAAGGGGCAACUGGAAUUCCCAGUGUAGCGGUGAAAUGCGUAGAUAUUGGGAAGAACACCGGAGGCGAAGGCGGGUGGCUGGGCCGACACUGACGCUGAGGCGCGAAAGCCAGGGGAGCAAACGGG